UGGGUGAAAAUUUGUAAGUCGCUCUGGAUAACAGCGUCUGCUAAAUGACUUAAA
rfam:Salmo salar isolate Sally breed double haploid chromosome ssa10, whole genome shotgun sequence.